rnacentral:tRNA from 1 species
GUAGGUAUAGCUUAGUGGUAGAGUGCAUGCUUAGCAUGCACAAGAUCCUGGGUUCAAUCCCCAGUACCUCCA